AUCGAACGCUGGCGGCAGGCCUAACACAUGCAAGUCGAGCGGAUGAAGGGAGCUUGCUCCUGGAUUCAGCGGCGGACGGGUGAGUAAUGCCUAGGAAUCUGCCUGGUAGUGGGGGAUAACGUCCGGAAACGGGCGCUAAUACCGCAUACGUCCUGAGGGAGAAAGUGGGGGAUCUUCGGACCUCACGCUAUCAGAUGAGCCUAGGUCGGAUUAGCUAGUUGGUGGGGUAAAGGCCUACCAAGGCGACGAUCCGUAACUGGUCUGAGAGGAUGAUCAGUCACACUGGAACUGAGACGCGGUCCAGACUCCUACGGGAGGCCGCAGUGGGGAAUGUUGGACAAUGGGCGGAAGCCUGAUCCAGCCGUGCCACGUGUGUGAAGAAGGUCUUCGGAUUGUAAAGCACUUUAAGUUGGGAGAAAGGGCAGUAAGUUAAUACCUUGCUGUUUUGACGUUACCAACAGAAUAAGCACCGGCUAACUUCGUG
rnacentral:rRNA from 1 species